AGUGAACGCUGGCGGUAGGCCUAACACACGCAAGUCGAACGGCAGCACAGUAAGAGCUUGCUCUUACGGGUGGCGAGUGGCGGACGGGUGAGGAAUACAUCGGAAUCUACUUUUUCGUGGGGGAUAACGUAGGGAAACUUACGCUAAUACCGCAUACGACCUACGGGUGAAAGUAGGGGAUCUUCGGACCUUGCGCGAUUGAAUGAGCCGAUGUCGGAUUAGCUAGUUGGCGGGGUAAAGGCCCACCAAGGCGACGAUCCGUAGCUGGUCUGAGAGGAUGAUCAGCCACACUGGAACUGAGACACGGUCCAGACUCCUACGGGAGGCAGCAGUGGGGAAUAUUGGACAAUGGGCGCAAGCCUGAUCCAGCCAUACCGCGUGGGUGAAGAAGGCCUUCGGGUUGUAAAGCCCUUUUGUUGGGAAAGAAAAGCAGCAGGUUAAUACCCCGCUGUUCUGACGGUACCCAAAGAAUAAGCACCGGCUAACUUCGUG
rnacentral:rRNA from 1 species